CAGUCGCCGCGGGAAAACGAAGGGGGCUAGCGUUGUUCGGAAUUACUGGGCGUAAAGGGCGCGUAGGCGGCCAUUCAAGUUAGAUGUGAAAGCCCUGGGCUCAACCUAGGAAUUGCAUUUGAUACUGUUUGGCUUGAGUUCGGGAGAGGUGAGUGGAAUUCCCAGUGUAGAGGUGAAAUUCGUAGAUAUUGGGAAGAACACCAGUGGCGAAGGCGGCUCACUGGACCGACACUGACGCUGAGGCGCGAAAGCGUGGGGAGCAAACAGGAUUAGAUACCCGCGUAGUCCCUGUCUCUUAUAC
rnacentral:rRNA from 1 species